rnacentral:lncRNA from 1 species
ACAUUACAACUGAUUGGUUCAUUCACAUGCAGUGGUUGCAAAAAGCCUGGUUUGGGAAGUCGUUACAUAUGUACAAACACAUAUUGUCAUAACGUCUUCCAUAAAGAAUGUACAGAAUGCCUUCAUUCAAAAGAAAAAGAAGAGAGAAUGAGUUCUUUCAUGAAAUAUACCAUGAAAGGGUUGCACGUAACAUCGCUAGUGGGGCAUAUAACAUUGGUAGCCUUAGGGGAUAUUACUUCUCUUGGUGAAGCUGUUAAAGACC